rnacentral:rRNA from 1 species
UUGUUGGUAAGGUAAAAGCUUACCAAGGCUUCGAUCAGUAGCUGGUCUGAGAGGACGACCAGCCACACUGGGACUGAGACACGGCCCAGACUCCUACGGGAGGCAGCAGUGGGGAAUUUUGGACAAUGGGGGCAACCCUGAUCCAGCCAUGCCGCGUGAGUGAAGAAGGCCUUCGGGUUGUAAAGCUCUUUCAGCCGGAACGAAACGGUUACGGUUAACACCCGUGACUACUGACGGUACCGGAAGAAGAAGCACCGGCUAACUACGUGCCAGCAGCCGCGGUAAUACGUAGGGUGCGAGCGUUAAUCGGAAUUACUGGGCGUAAAGCGUGCGCAGGUGGUUUUGUAAGUCAGAUGUGAAAGCCCCGGGCUCAACCUGGGAACUGCGUUUGAAACUACAAGACUAGAGUGUGGCAGAGGGGGGUGGAAUUCCGCGUGUAGCAGUGAAAUGCGUAGAGAUGUGGAGGAACACCGAUGGCGAAGGCAGCCCCCUGGGUCAACACUGACGCUCAGGCACGAAAGCAUGGGGAGCAAACAGGAUUAGAUACCCUGGUAGUCCAUGCCCUAAACGAUGUCAACUAGUUGUCGGGCCUUUACGGGCUUGGUAACGUAGCUAACGCGUGAAGUUGACCGCCUGGGGAGUACGAUCGCAAGAUUAAAACUCAAAUGAAUUGACGGGGACCCGCACAAGCGGUGGAUUAUGUGGAUUAAUUCGAUGCAACGCGAAAAACCUUACCUACCCUUGACAUGUAUCGAAGCCCGCAGAAAAGCGGGGGUGCCCGAAAGGGAACGAUAACACAGGUGCUGCAUGGCUGUCGUCAGCUCGUGUCGUGAGAUGUUGGGUUAAGUCCCGCAACGAGCGCAACCCUUGUCAUUAAUUGCCAUCAUUAGUUGGGCACUUUAAUGAGACUGCCGG